GAUGGUUCUCGUGUGACGCACUCCGGAAUUGGACUCCCUCCUUUCUGGUUCCAGGGUGCUUCACCUGAGAACCGCC
rfam:Myotis brandtii contig234278, whole genome shotgun sequence.